UACGAAGGGUGCAAACGUUGCUCGGAAUUAUUGGGCGUAAAGCGCACGUGGGCGGCUUUUCAAGUCGGAUGUGAAAUCCCUCGGCUUAACCAAGGAAGUGCAUCCGAAACUGGAGAGCUUGAGUACUUAAGAGGAUCGCGGAAUUCCCGGUGUAGAGGUGAAAUGCGUAGAUAUGCGGAGGAACACCGAUGGCGAAGGCAAUCCCCUGGACCUGUACUGACGCUCAUGCACGAAAGCGUGGGGAGCAAACAGG
rnacentral:rRNA from 1 species